rnacentral:rRNA from 1 species
CACUAGUGAUUCUCCUGGAAACGGGUGGUAAUGCCGGAUGCUCCAGUUGGAUGCAUGUCCUUCUGGGAAAGAUUUCAUCGGUAUGGGAUGGGGUCGCGUCCUAUCAGGUAGUCGGCGGGGUAACGGCCCACCGAGCCUACGACGGGUAGCCGGCCUGAGAGGGCGACCGGCCACAUUGGGACUGAGAUACGGCCCAGACUCCUACGGGAGGCAGCAGUGGGGAAUAUUGCACAAUGGGCGCAAGCCUGAUGCAGCGACGCCGCGUGCGGGAUGACGGCCUUCGGGUUGUAAACCGCUUUUGAUCGGGAGCAAGCCUUCGGGUGAGUGUACCUUUCGAAUAAGCACCGGCUAACUACGUGCCAGCAGCCGCGGUAAUACGUAGGGUGCAAGCGUUAUCCGGAAUUAUUGGGCGUAAAGGGCUCGUAGGCGGUUCGUCGCGUCCGGUGUGAAAGUCCAUCGCUUAACGGUGGAUCCGCGCCGGGUACGGGCGGGCUUGAGUGCGGUAGGGGAGACUGGAAUUCCCGGUGUAACGGUGGAAUGUGUAGAUAUCGGGAAGAACACCAAUCGAAUUC